rnacentral:misc_RNA from 1 species
CCAAUAGCGUAUAUUAAAGUUGUUGUGGUUAAAAAGCUCGUAGUUGAACCUUGGGCCUGGCUGGCCGGUCCGCCUCACCGCGUGUACUGGUCCGGCCGGGCCUUUCCCUCUGUGGAACCCCAUGCCCUUCACUGGGUGUGGUGGGGAAACAGGACUUUUACUGUGAAAAAAUUAGAGUGCUCCAGGCAGGCCUAUGCUCGAAUACAUUAGCAUGGAAUAAUAGAAUAGGACGUGUGGUUCUAUUUUGUUGGUUUCUAGGACCGCCGUAAUGAUUAAUAGGGACAGUCGGGGGCAUCAGUAUUCAAUUGGCAGAGGUGAAAUUCUUGGAUUUAUUGAAGACUAACUACUGCGAAAGCAUUUGCCAAGGAUGUUUUCAUUAAUCAGGAACGAAAGUUAGGGGAUCGAAGACGAUCAGAUACCGUCGUAGUCUUAACCAUAAACUAUGCCGACUAGGGAUCGGACGGUGUUAUUUUUUGACCCGUUCGGCACCUUACG